GGAGAUGUGGCAGAGUGGUCGAAUGCAUCGGUCUUGAAAACCGACGUACCGAGAGGUACCGGGGGUUCGAAUCCCUCCAUCUCCGCCA
rnacentral:tRNA from 1 species